rnacentral:tRNA from 2 species
GCCGGUGUAGCUCAGGGGUAGAGUACUUCCUUGGUAAGGAAGGGGUCACGGGUUCAAUUCCCGUCACUGGCU